AAGACCUUGCGCUUUUGGAGCGGCCGAUGCCUGAUUAGCUUGUUGGUAAGGUAAAAGCUUACCAAGGCUUCGAUCAGUAGCUGGUCUGAGAGGACGACCAGCCACACUGGGACUGAGACACGGCCCAGACUCCUACGGGAGGCAGCAGUGGGGAAUUUUGGACAAUGGGGGCAACCCUGAUCCAGCCAUGCCGCGUGAGUGAAGAAGGCCUUCGGGUUGUAAAGCUCUUUCAGCCGGAACGAAACGGUUACGGUUAAUACCCGUGACUACUGACGGUACCGGAAGAAGAAGCACCGGCUAACUACGUGCCAGCAGCCGCGGUAAUACGUAGGGUGCGAGCGUUAAUCGGAAUUACUGGGCGUAAAGCGUGCGCAGGUGGUUUUGUAAGUCAGAUGUGAAAGCCCCGGGCUCAACCUGGGAAACU
rnacentral:rRNA from 1 species